rnacentral:rRNA from 1 species
GAUAAUCGCUGAAAGCAUCUAAGUGAGAAACUAACCUCGAGAUGAGAUUUCCCAUUCGUCAGAAGUAAGACCCCUGAGAGACGAUCAGGUAGAUAGGCUAGAAGUGGAAGUGUAGUGAUGCAUGGAGCGGACUAGUACUAAUAGGUCGAGGACUUAACCAAG